rnacentral:rRNA from 1 species
UACGUAGGAUGCAAGCGUUGUCCGGAAUUAUUGGGCGUAAAGAGCGCGCAGGCGGUCUAUCAAGUCAGAUGUGAAAUAUCCCGGCUUAACCGGGAGGGGUCAUUUGAAACUGGUAGACUAGAGUACAGCAGAGGAUAGCGGAAUUCCCGGUGUAGUGGUGAAAUGCGUAGAUAUCGGGAGGAACACCAGUGGCGAAGGCGGUGCUCUGGGCCGGAACUGACGCUGAGGGGCGAAAGCGUGGGGAGCAAACAGG